rnacentral:ncRNA from 1 species
ACAUAACUCUGGAGAGGGCCAUAUAAGGCCGCCGAAGGUGCAGGGGCGCGGUAUUCCCGCUCUAAUCUCUCAGGCAAAAGGACAGAGUCGG